rnacentral:lncRNA from 1 species
CACAUCAUUUUGCCAUACUUCAUACUUUUGCUAUUAAGUGUCUCAUUUUCUCCCUCUCCCCUAAAAUCAGUACUCCUCUCCCCUAAAAUCAGUACUCCCUUCUGACCAUUGUCUCCGACAUGGACCUCUCAUUCAUCCUCGAUUUAUAUAGCUGCCUACCAGGUGGCUCCAUUCAGAUUGCUUACUCCUUAUACUAGCAUGUUCAAGACCUGCUCCAGGUGCUAAGAUAAACAACUUGGUGGAUUUGAUUCUUCCCAUUCCUCACCUCCCAUAUUUAACAGAAGGUCCAGUUGACAAGUCUUGUUGAUUCUGUCUGAUAAAUAUUGAGUCAAUUUACUUCUUCUCCACUGCAGCCAACUUAAAUUUUUAGCUUCUAUCUUGGACUGGAUCAUUGAAAUAACUCCUUACAUGUCUCCUGGAAUACCUUUGAUCUCUCUAUUCUAUUUUCUUUUUUUGGUACUAGGAUUGAACCCAGGGGUCCUUAACCUCUGAGCCACAUCCCCAGCCCUUUUUUGUAUUUUGUUUAGAACAGGGUCUCACUGAGUUGCCUAGGGCCUCACUAAGUUGCUGAGGCUGGCUUUGAACUCUCGGUCCUCCUGCCUCAGUCUCCCACACUGCUGGGAUUAUAGGUGUGCACCACCAUGCCUGGCUUCUAGUCUAUUUUUCUUCUAGUCUAUUUUCUGCCUGCAAUCAGAAUGUUCUUUUAUGGUGGGGUUCUUUUUUUUUGUCUUUUUUAGAACUGGGGGUCGAACCCAGGGCUUUGCGAAUGCAAGGCAGACGCUUUGCCACUGAGCUACAUCCCAGCCCCAGAAUGUUCUUUUAAAAAGAUUGAACCUGUUGCUUUUCUGCUAAAAAAAUUGUAUUAUAUUUUUUCAUUGUCUGUAAUUUAAAAUAGUCCCCAAGUCUUAAUAUGGCUGGUAAGACCCUGUCUGACCUGGCCUCUCUCUCCCAGCUUCAUUGUCUCCCACUUUCCAUCCUUAAGCCAUAUGUAUGACAUGUGCCUCUGCUCCAGGUGUACGAAACAUACUACUGCUUCUGAUUGAGUACCCCUGUACUGCCUUCACUUCAGAGUUAAAAACAAAAAAACAAAAACUUUUUUUGUAGUUGUAGAUGGACAUCAUGUCUUUAUUUUAUUUGUUUAUUUUUAUUCUGUGCUAAGGAUUGAACCCAGUGCCUCACACAUGUUAGACAAGCACUCUGCCACUGAGCUCCAGUCCCAGUCAGAAUUUAACUUGAGAAAUAGUUGUUUAUAGUUACGGUGUAUGAUGUGAUAUUUUGAUAUGUUUGUGUCAUAGAAUGAUAAAAUCAAGCUAAUUAACAAAUUCUUCACACACUUUUUAAAAAGAAAAGCUAAAAGAUUUAUUUAGUGAAAUGGAAGUGACACCCUAAGAGGUAUGGAGCAGACCUCUUCCAGGAGAGGAAAUGGCCCACACUUAUUUUUUAUGUGUGGUGAUGACAUUUAAAAUCUACUCUUAGCAAUUUUGAAACAUAUAAUAACAUUUAUUAUAGUUUCCUGUCUGGAUAAUAGAUUGCUCAAACUUACUCCUUCUGUGUGUCUGAAAUUUUGUACCCUUUGGUCAAUGUCUUCACUUUCACCUUCAACCUACCCUGCCACUCCAUCUCUACUUCUCUGGCUUGGCUUUCUUAGGUUUCAUGUAUAAGUGAUGCAUUUAGUAUAAUGUCCUCCAGAUUCUUCCAUGUUGUCUCAAAUAACAAUUUCAUUUUUAGGGCUGAAUAAUGUUUGUCAUAUGUGUGUGUGUGUAUUUACACAUAUAUGUUUAUAUAACUACAUAAAGCUAUAUGACUAUAUACAACUAUAUAUGUGUAUAUAUAUACACACACACACACACACACACUUAUGUACAUAAAUAUAAAUAGUUGUAUAUAGUUAUGUACAAUGGGAUGUUUUUUGUUGUUUUGUUU